GGCUGGGUGGCCGAGUGGUCUAAGGCGGUAGACUCAAGAGUAUGGGUACUUAUCCAUAAUCUUCCUUUACACACAUGCAAAGGUUAUUUCUACUCUCGAAAGAGGCGUGCGUUCGAAUCGCGCCCCAGUCA